rnacentral:rRNA from 1 species
UAGGGAAUCUUCCACAAUGGACGAAAGUCUGAUGGAGCAACGCCGCGUGAGUGAAGAAGGGUUUCGGCUCGUAAAGCUCUGUUGGUAGUGAAGAAAGAUAGAGGUAGUAACUGGCCUUUAUUUGACGGUAAUUACUUAGAAAAGUCACGGCUAACUACGUGCC